rnacentral:rRNA from 1 species
AUACGUAGGGAGCGAGCGUUGUCCGGAAUUACUGGGUGUAAAGGGUGCGUAGGCGGGACGGCAAGUCAGAUGUGAAAUACCGGGGCUCAACCCCGGGGCUGCAUUUGAAACUGUCGUUCUUGAGUGAGGUAGAGGUAAGCGGAAUUCCUAGUGUAGCGGUGAAAUGCGUAGAUAUGAGGAGGAACAUCGGUGGCGAAGGCGGUUUACUGGGCCAUUACUGACGCUGAGGCACGAAAGCUUGGGGAGCAAACAGGAUUAGAUACCCUGGUAGUCCGCGCUGUAAACGAUGAUGACUAGGUGUGGGGGGACUGAACCCUUCCGUGCCGCAGUUAACAUAAUAAGGCAUCCACCUGGGGAGUACGGCCGCAAGGUUGAAACUCAAAGGAAUUGACGGGG